GCCUCUCAUGAUGAUUCAAAAUUAACUUUCGUUCUUCCGAGAUAUUCCAUGCGGAAAAAUUUGGAGACCUGAACUGAAGAGGC